rnacentral:rRNA from 1 species
GACAGAGGGUGCAAACGUUGUUCGGAAUUACUGGGCGUAAAGCGCGUGUAGGCUGCCCUGCAAGUCGGAUGUGAAAUCCCACGGCUCAACCGUGGAAGUGCAUUCGAAACUGCAGGGCUAGAGUCCUGGAGAGGAAGGUGGAAUGCUUGGUGUAGAGGUGAAAUUCGUAGAUAUCAAGCAGAACACCUGUGGCGAAGGCGGCCUUCUGGACGAUGACUGACGCUGAGACGCGAAAGCGUGGGGAGCAAACAGG